GAUGCGUGUUUUAUGCUCGCAUUCUCAGACGUGGUGGAUGUAUGUUGUAUUGCAAUUCUUAUAUUUUUUAUUAUACUGGUAUAUAAAAAAGCUAUUUUAGGCUAUUGACGUUAAGUUUUCACGAUGGAGAUUGCAUUUGUACGCGGACAGUUUAAUAAUUUGUAGGUUAUUAAUAGGUUGACAUGGGUAUGGUUUUAGACUUUUUGACUAAAAAUCCGUUGUAUACAAGUGCAAAAAUCGUAAAGAUUUCAGAAUCUGCUCGAGAAAGCUACGAUUACAACACCAUUGGCUAUGUAUAGAUGCAAAGAGAAGGCCAACUAUGCACGGUAAAAGCUAGAAUAACUCCAGAGCAUAAAGUUAGGAGCAAGCCAUGUCGUUGUACAUUUGUAUGUAAUAAAGAGACUGUACAGGUUAUAAGCGUAUGUUGCCGAAAAAAUGUAUUCAAGAAAGUUUUAAUGUUGUAAGUUAGAAUAUAAUCGCGUUUUGAGUAAAAGGUUAUUGUUUUAUUAAAACGGCUCUGCAAGUUCUAAUCCACAUGCUAUUAAUAAAAUGUUAUCAAAGAAAGGCAGCAUUUUCACGUUUACACAUGCAUGCGGUGGAAACAUUUUAAAAUCUCGCAAUCUUCCUAUCGAUCUUUCAACGUGUAUUCGAACAGCAGCAAUCCUUUUUGUAUCAAUUACUUCUGUUUUGUCACUGAUAGUACCAGAAUAGAUAGUACUUGGUCUAACAAGCCGGCGUCUCUUCCUCUCUACUAUGGAGGCGAUAUUUUUAAAUCCCUUGUCUGCUAAAAUGGUUGAUCCUGUCGGUAUCUUAUCGGUUAUAUUGCAAUCUUCAAACAAAGUAGCGUCGUCCACUCUUCCACCAGAACCACCAGUUAUAAAGUUUAUAAAUCCGUUGGGUGCUAUUGAGAUAAGAAAUAUCAAAUUUCCCUUAUAAUUGGACCAAGUUAAUGACUGGUGAAUUGCAUUACUAGGCUGUUAAUUCGAACUUCAAAGCAGUCAAUAAUGCUUUGGGUUUUAAAGAAACGAGUUCGAAAUGCCAUAGGCAAAUUAUUUGCGACAUCUGCUUGUUCGGGAAAAUAUAUUAACUCUCAUAAAAUGUGAUAAAGGCGAUAAAGUUUUUCCAAUAACUUUUGCAACCCUUUCGAAGCCCAAAAUCUAUAGCUAAUCGAGAAUACGGAUCAGUCAGUCUUAUUUUUUUUUAAAUUAUCAGGAUAUCUACCUGAGGUCGAUGAACAUUAUUAACUAAAAUCUCUAUGAAAAAGUAAGUGUCUUUGGAAAGCCUGUGAUUAAGAUCUGUGAAUUCGUCGCAUGAGUUUCCACUGAAAGAGACCGACAGAUUAACAAUGUCUGAAGUUUCUAUAAUAACGUCACUCACUAAUGUCGUUGCCUUGGAGUAUUUCAUUGCCUGAAGAUUUAAUAUUUUUCUGCCUGAAUUUUGUUUGACAUCCUUUAUUUUUUUUUUGCCCAUUAUAUGUACUUGUGUGCCCUUCUUUUUUGUUUUUAUUUUCACACUGGCUUCCACAUCCACAUCAAAACAGUCCAUUGGCACAAAAAUAGGACUGUCAGGAUCUUUAAUUACUUCAUCACUUUGAACACAUUCAAUAAAUUCUAUGGGUUUUUGGGCAACAGAGGCUGGAACUUCCUUUGAAAGUACUUUUUCAUAAUACUCUGCUCGACGACGCUUCGCAACUGCAGACCGUUCUUGAGUAACUACCUUGGUUUUUUGGCAAGCAAACUUAUGAGGUAUAACGUCUUUUUUCAGAAGUAGUCUGCCACCAGCAAUUCGAUGUCUCAUAAAGUUUUGAGUGUCGUUGUCGACCUAAAAAAUAAAAUUACAGAACAGAACGUACUAACUCUUGCAAUAGCUUGCAAGUAAAACAAUAUUUUCCAAUAAAAAUAAAUAAGUACCUAAGCAAUUGAACACCUGUCCUUUUUGGCUAUUAAUAGGAAGGUUCGUACUAUACAAUAGAGGUCCGUUGUCACAGGUAUAAUUUUUAGCGUUUCAAAAUAAUCGCUAAGUUUACGAAUUUAAAAUGUAAUUAAAGUAUGUAAGUACUAAUAGAUGUGUAGCGUGCAACAUUCGGUAGCACUCGGGCGUCUUCGGACGCGAUCGGAGUUCCCGAACGCGCAGGUGUCCCGUGAUGUCAUGCAACGAGAUUCGCGUGCCUCGAUUUAAGUUAAAUUUAAAACGUAAUUUUAGUUUUAAUUUGUAUCUUCUAGUGCCUAUAUAGCGUUGUUUACUUUACUUUUGAUUUUAUUUUUUAAUAUUGUACACAUUAUAGAUAUUGUUGAAUUGGUGUGUUUGACUUUUAUAUGUUCGCAGUAAAAUAUCCCGCGAAUACGUGGAACAAAUUUUAAUAACAAACCACAGAUAAAUAGAUACUGACAUAGAUACUUACAUCAAAAUGGUCUUCACAGCAAUACCGUACUGAUUUUUCUGAUAAAAAUUCCUUUCUAUUCAUAAUUUUGCACCACUUAUCUCUUAUUUUUUUCUGUUUUGGUACCGUAAAAAAAUGCUUAUCAGGAGCAGUUACAGUCGUGUUCGUACACAAAGGCACGAUGCAGUAUUUAUAAUGUAUUUUAGUUUUAGUUUCCAUGAUAAUACCUGAUAUUGUGUUGCGCUAACAAGUACUAAAAGCACAUUAGCACACUGCGGCGAACAGUCGCAUAGUCAGUCAAGCGUCGUCCCGAGACGGGCGAGACUUGUGACGUCAGCGCUAGGCCGACCGGUCGCGCGUCAUACGAUUUCAAAAUGGAAGGGAAAAGCAUCCGAACUCCGUCAUUUAUGAAGAUAAUUGAAAAAAAAAACUAGGAUUUAUUGCAGUCUUAGUGUGAUAUUUAAAAAAGAAAACUGAAAAAAUGGAAACUUCCUUACAUCGAUAUAUUACCACUUCCUUAUUGUAAAAUAUAACAGCAACAGAGAGCAAUAGGAGUGCAGAUAAGAGAUUGCAAUAUCGAUUACAUAUUCGAUAUUUUAAAAAUGUUAAAUUAAAAUCAAAUAUGUACCAAGCAAUUUAUUUACGUAGGUAUUACAUCUUAUUAUAUAUGAUUAUUUAUUGGUUUUCAAGAUAUUAUAUAGUUUAUAUUUUAUAUUAUAUGGUUUAUAAGAUAUUAUAGACAAUAUUCUUCUUUCAUU